rnacentral:lncRNA from 1 species
AGUUGGAUAGCCCUGUUGCGCCUCUGCUGCAAUGCCACCAACCACCUGUAGAAAAGUACAACUUUAUAGCUGUACAAAGUUGACUUCAUAAGUUAAGCAAUUAAAGCACCUGGUGUCUCAUCUAUUCUUUAUGAGGAAAAACUUAGUAGGUUUAUCAUUAGUCGAGAUAAAUGUUGUCACUUCUCUGCUACUAUACACUAACUUUUCUACAAAAUGUAUAGCUGAAGCUAUACUAUUGACUUCUGGAAAGUUCAACGAUCGAUGGACCUGAUACUAUGAAAUAAGACCCAUAUUAGGAAUAGUUACAACUUGUUCCUCUGUAGAACCUGAUUUUCUUAUUCCUUCUGAUGUUGGCCUAGUAUGGGUACUUGGUUUUCAUCUAGUCCAUCAACAGGUUUUCAAAUCAUCAAAAUAAAGUAUAGUACCAUAGAAACUACACAUCAUUUAAAGAGUGCAUAAGAAUAUUGAGGAUUAGAAUUAGGGUUCUCUCCUACAACCAAAGGUUAGGGAGAGGACGAUGAAGCCAUAGAUGGUUUGAUAUUAAGGAAAAUGACUUCCAAGAAAAUGUUUUCCUACAAAAUAAUUUUAUGAAAAAUAAGUGAUUUUUUUACUUAUUUUAAGAUGUUUGCUUAGUAAAAACAAAUAUUGUCCCUAAGCAUUAGGUAAAAUAUACGAAAAUACUUUGACAAGAGAGCCAAUCCCGACCUGAGACCCCACUUCUCAACUUGACACAGGACCCAAUUCCCAAUCCGACAUUGACUUUUGACCUUAACCCAGGUCUCGACUACUGACCCUGACCUAAGACUAACUUUUAAGCCCGACUCUCGAUCAUUACCUAGGACCUAACCUCAUAUAUCUCCGACCUUGACCUCUACUCUCGAUACCCAACCCCCAACCCUUACCUCAACAUGGGACCCAACUCAUGAUCCCAACCCGAAUAGACUCUUGACUUCCAACCCCAACUAUAGACCCCACUCACAAUCCCAAAUAUUGACCUCGAUGCUAAUGAGGGAUCUGACCCUGGUCCAAGUCCAAGUUGAAAGUCAGAUAGAGGUUGUGUUGGGAGCUAGCACUCGGUUCUGGAUUGGGUUCGAGAGUCAUGGUCGGGGUGUGUUUAAUUAGUUAUAUGAAUCCUGGGAAAUUAUACAAGCAACCUGAAUGACGCACCAUAAUUCUCUUUAUCACACCCCUCUUUUAACUAAAAGAUAUUCAUUUUAAGUUUGAAAGGGUUUUUAUUAUUAAGUGACAAAAAGUGAAAAUUUAUUUCAAAAAGGAUUGUUUAUAUUCAAACCUCAGAGUCGCCACUUGGCAAAAAUUGGGUGUACCAAGUCACCCUUGGAUAUUCUUUUUCAAAAUAAUUUUGACUCUUUAAAACUAAUCCGCGAACAGAGAUUUUGGUUAAGGAAUUCUAUUGACCGAGGGGAAGGUGUUAGGCACCCCUCGAUUCCGUGGUUCGACCACGGUCGCUUCGUGGAGUAUAUUGGCUAGUGCAACACUAUGAAAUGUAUAAACCACACAAAACACGCAACGAGAUGAACAAACAACCAAACAAUCAAAAAUUCAAAAAAUAAUGUCUAGUCUAAUUUAUUACAGACCAAAAAUAAAAAUACUGAAAUGAAACCUAAACUAUCCUAACUGUGCUUUACCCGAUGCCUCGGGCCUUGAUCACGAUCAUAUUCUGCCAACAUAAUACGUCAGGACAUUCUCGGUGAAUAAAUAAAAAUGGCCUCGAGGCAUUCUCCGGCUAAAUGAAUACAAUUGAUCCAAAUGCGGUAAACAAAAUUAUUUAACAAAUUAUUCCAAACAUUUCACAAUUUACAAGUUAUAAAUUUGCCUACUCGAGUCUACCUUCUGCUUUUCUAGCUCAACCUAUCAUGGUAUAAUCACAUUCAAUGACAUCAAUGAAUCAAAACAACUAAUGGUCACUUUUCAUCAAUUUUCAAUCGUCGCCCAAAUAACUGAUUUUAAUUCUUAAUAAGACAUCAUUUCAUCACACAAUUUAUAAUCCAAAGGAAUCAAACAACAAAUUAAACAAACAUCAAUUCACCACCAACCAAGAUCAACCAAAAAAUGAUAUUCAAUCCAAUGCACCGAGUAUCAUCAACAAUAAAAUAAAAAGAGGUGAAAGAGUAGAAUUAGACCUCAUUUUGAAGCUUUCAAACUCAAUAUUACUUGAAUGAAGAGACAAAAUCAGUGCCGAAGAACCUCGAUUCGAAACCCCAACAAGAAAAAUCCCAACCUCAGUAUGGCUUCACUGUUUUCCAACAAAAUCACAACAAGAUCCCGAGGACCAAAAUAACCCUUUCAUAAUUUCCUAUAUGGGUUCGAUCGUGGACAAAGCUGGGUCGUUUAGAAUGGUUUUCCGAUGGUGUUUGUUCGUAUUUUUAGAUAUUCCGGUGGUAUUUGCCUAGUUACUGAUUAUUAGGCAAAGAUGUGGAGCUGGGUUCCUGCUCUCCGCUUCGACGGACUUCAGAGAACUCUGGUAAUCAGAAUGAACCUUUCUUAACUAUUUCUCUCUGUCGAUUCUCCCUUCUCUCCUCACUCACAUUCACUAAUUUUCCCUCGCCUGAUUUUUCUCUCUGUGUGUGGAGUAUUUUUUUUUGUCUGUGUCUUAGUGAACCUCAAUUGGUGUGUGUGUAUUCAUGAGAUUUUUUUUGUGCAUGUGCAGUGUGUCAUCGUUUUGUGGAGAAGAAAAAAAUUUAUUUUUUCAUGAGGUAUGUAUAGAAAUCUGUGAGAUGUGAAUGAAUAUGUAUAUAGUGUGUUGUGUGCUUAUUGACUGUGAGUGGUGAGUUUUUGUUUUGUCCCCCAAAAGAAAACGU